GAUGAAGAACGUAGCGAAAUGCGAUACUUGGUGUGAAUUGCAGAAUCCCGUGAACCAUCGAGUCUUUGAACGCAAGUUGCGCCCGAAGCCAUCAGGUUGAGGGCACGUCUGCCUGGGCGUCACAUAUCGUUGCCCAAUGCCUAUUGCAGUGCAAUAGGAAUUUCUAGGGCGAAUGAUGGCUUCCCGUGAGCGUUGUUGCCUCGCGGUUGGUUGAAAAUCGAGUCCUUGGAAGGGUGUGCCAUGGUAGAUGGUGGUCGAGUUAGAACGAUACCGAUCAUGUGCAUGCUCCCCAAAAUAUGGCCUCUAUGACCCACACGCGUCUUUGGACGCUCAUGACGAGACCUCAGGUCAGGCGGGGCUACCCGCUGAAUUUAAGCAUAUCAAUAAGCGGAGGA
rnacentral:misc_RNA from 1 species